rnacentral:rRNA from 1 species
UGGGGAAUUUUGCACAAUGGGGGAAACCCUGAUGCAGCGACGCCGCGUGAUUUAGAAGGCCUUCGGGUUGUAAAAAUCUUUUCUAUGGGAAGAAAAUGACAGUACCAUAGGAAUAAGGACCGGCUAAUUACGUGCCAGCAGCCGCGGUAAUACGUAAGGUCCGAGCGUUGUCCGGAAUCAUUGGGCGUAAAGGGUACGUAGGCGGGUAAGCAAGUUAGAAGUGAAAUCCUAUAGCUCAACUAUAGUAAGCUUUUAAAACUGCUCAUCUUGAGGUAUGGAAGGGAGAGUGGAAUUCCGAGUGUAGCGGUGAAAUGCGCAGAUAUUAGGAGGAAUACCGGUGGCGAAGGCGACUUUCUGGCCAUAACCUGACGCUGAGGUACGAAAGCGUGGGUAGCAAACAGG